rnacentral:rRNA from 1 species
UGGGUAAUGGCGUGCCUUUUGUAGAAUGAACCGGCGAGUUACGUUUGCUUGCGAGGUUAAGAUGAAAAGUCGGAGCCGUAGCGAAAGCGAGUCUGAACAGGGCGAAUGAGUAAGCAGAUGUAGACCCGAAACCAAGUGACCUACCCAUGACCAGGUUGAAGGUGUGGUGAAACACACUGGAGGACCGAACCCAUGUAUGUUGAAAAAUGCUGGGAUGAGUUGUGGGUAGCGGUGAAAUUCCAAACGAACUUGGAGAUAGCUGGUUCUCUCCGAAAUAGCUUUAGGGUUAGCCUCGGAGGAUGGAUCAUGGAGGUAGAGCACUGUUUGAACUAGGGGCCCAUCAAGGGUUACUGAAUUCAGAUAAACUCCGAAUACCAUCGAUCUUACUCCGGGAGUCAGACAGUGAGCGAUAAGGUCCAUUGUCGAAAGGGGAACAGCCCAGAUCACCAGUUAAGGUCCCUAAAUUUAUGCUAAGUGGAAAAGGAUGUGGCGUUGCACAGACAACUAGGAUGUUGGCUCAGAAGCAGCCACCAUUUAAAGAGUGCGUAAUAGCUCACUAGUCGAGUGGCACUGCGCCGAAAAUAUACCGGGGCUAAGCAUAAUACCGAAACUGUGGGUGCACCCGUAAGGGUGCGCGGUAGGAGAGCGUUCUAAGGGCGUUGAAGGUCGAUCGUGAGGACGGCUGGAGCGCUUAGAAGUGAGAAUGCCGGCAUGAGUAGCGAAAGAUCAGUGAGAAUCUGAUCCACCGUAUGACUAAGGUUUCCUGGGGAAGGCUCGUCCUCCCAGGGUUAGUCGGGAUCUAAGGCGAGGCCGAGAGGCGUAGUCGAUGACAAGCAGGUUGAGAUUCCUGCACUAGUUUAUUUUGUUUAAGCGAUGGAGGGACGCAGGAGGCUAAGGAAAGCGCACGGCUGGAAAUGUGCGCCCAAGCAGCAAGUCUGACAGCGAGUGAAAUGCUUGCAGUCUUAAGGACAAGCUGUGAUGGGGAGCGAAAUUAUAGUAGCGAAGUUCCUGAUGUCACACUGCCAAGAAAAGCUUCUAGUGAGAAAUAAACUACCCGUACCGCAAACCGACACAGGUAGUCGAGGAGAGUAUCCUCAGGUGAGCGAGCGAACUCUCGUUAAGGAACUCGGCAAAAUGACCCCGUAACUUCGGAAGAAGGGGUGCUGACCGCAAGGUCAGCCGCAGUGAAUAGGCCCAAACAACUGUUUAUCAAAAACACAGGUCUCUGCUAAAUCGUAAGAUGAUGUAUAGGGGCUGACGCCUGCCCGGUGCUGGAAGGUUAAGAGGAUGAGUUAGCGCAAGCGAAGCCCAGAAUUGAAGCCCCAGUAAACGGCGGCCGUAACUAUAACGGUCCUAAGGUAGCGAAAUUCCUUGUCGGGUAAGUUCCGACCCGCACGAAAGGCGUAAUGAUUUGGGCACUGUCUCAACGAGAGACUCGGUGAAAUUAUAGUACCCGUGAAGAUGCGGGUUACCCGCGACAGGACGGAAAGACCCCAUGGAGCUUUACUGUAGCUUGAUAUUGAGUGUUUGUACCGCUUGUACAGGA